AGGAGAUGGAAUAUUAAGUGUGGGGAAGACCUAGUAAUUUCCUUUGGCUGGAACACACAUGGGGGUAACAUAACCAUUCAUUCUUUUCUCCUUCCCUUUUGCCUCAAAGGAAGCAGUCAGAUGCUUUUUUCACCCUGGAAGUUCCCUCAUCUCCUCUGGUUUUCUCAGCCUGGAGCAUCCUUCCACUCUUACAGUGUCCCUCUCCUAUUGGCCCAGUACGAAGCAGUACUCAUCCACUUGAGGCAACCAAAUCAUGUUCUGCCUUCCCCAACCCUCUGCCCAAAGCUGAGACUCAUCCUUAAUAAGGGCCACAGGGGAUGGUGGAGAUGGAAACCUCAAAGCCCUGACUUGGGGUGCUCAUGUCCUGGCUAAAAGGAGAAGAAAGGAGAAGACAAAUCAAAGUCAUGAUUUUUUGAAGUCUUUCGUUAAAGCUAGUCAAUUUUCCUCUUGGUACAGGGGAAACCUGGAAGGGCACCCACAGAAUAAGUAUCAUCAAGUUGGGCAAGUCUUAGAAGGCUCUCAGUCACCUCCUGACCACUUGUUCCAGGAAGACAACAUCCCUCCCCAAAGUUCAAAGUUUUUGAACUAGUUUGGGCCAGAAGUUGAGCUCUGUAGGUAACCUCAACUGCAAAAAAAUAAGGUGGAAGUGCAAGGGAGUAGGAAGAUGAGAAAGGCCAAAAGAAAAGGAAGGAAACUUUGCAAGGGAUGCUGCGGCUUUCCCACUGGACAAAGAAGCAUAUCUAAUCUCUGGAUAAUGCCCUUCACAGAAAACCGUUUGGUGCUUAGGAAAUAGAAAACAAAAACAUCUUCACAGAGAAAAGGCAACUCAAUUCAAGCAAGUUUCAGAACAGGGCUGAGAGAAGAGAUUGAGGAGGUUAAAAAGGAACUAGUGUGUGUCUCUCCCUCCCUAAUCAGCCUCUUCCCCCACCACCUUUCCCUUUCCUGAGCAGAAUGUUCUCUGGCCUGGCAACAAUGGAGAAUUAAGGAGGGGAGUUUUAAACUGAACAGACCCUACUUUUAGAACAGUGUAGUAGUCUUUUUAGUACAUAGUAGGAUCUCUCUCUCUCUCUCUCUCUCUGUGUGCCCCUCCCUCCCUCUCACUCCCAAUCUAAAUGCCUACAUUCCUUGUACUCUC
ensembl:lncRNA